GUCAUAAUCGAUUAUUACCCUCCGCCGGGGUUGAAAUCGCCUCUUCAGCCAAUGAUUUUAAUGGUAAAUGUAAAUAACAUUACUCCAAUUGAACUGAUCAGAAGUCGUCAAGGCUGUACGAGAAGAUUUCCGCAUCUGGUGUCGCUCCAGCCGGGAAAUCCCGCCUGCCGCAGCGGUAGUUCAGCAGGUCGCGAGUCCAGCUCAGAGAUGACAUUCAGAUGAGAUUUAAAAAUUUUAUUUUAUUUUUUUGUUUGUUUAAUGUAAAGCUGAGGUAAAUCUUUCCCUCAGCUUCCUCUCUCAUGAGCGCAUACAGAACAAAUGGGACGGGAGACUCAAGAAGAAAACUGUUCCGCGGUUGCUGGGGAGAUCACCUGGGUAACCUUAGCAAUAAUUCGAUUUACGUGACGCAUCCACUUCAAUGCAAAAUCCACCAGGGCCAUAGAACCCAUAGGACCGGGUCGAACGGAGCCGGGCUGGGCCUGGCGGACCCUGCAGUGCAAAAAGAGUUGAGGACAUUAAAGAGCCUCCCCAUCAGUUUGUGCCGGCCAGCCCAGUCCCCGCAGAGGCACGCUCCGAGUGCUGUGCGCCUCCUGUCAGUCAAGAUGCCCCAAAGCAGCCUCCCUCGCUGAUGAAGUAUGGACAGUGGAGAACAAGGGGCAGAGCUGUCACACCGAAGCCGUCGAACGUCCAGAGAAUUGAGAUAGUGGACCUGAGUGUUCGCCUGAACAAUAAACUGCACCGGACUCAAACUGAUGCUCUUUACAAGAAGCACCAGGACAGACUCUGACCGCUGAGGCUGGCCUCUUUUGAAGCACAAGAGGCCUUUUGACCUGAAGGCCUUUGUGACCCUUUGGUUGCAACAGCCAACUUCUAUGGUGUUCCUUGUUGGAGCAGCAGUUUAGUUAUAGCUGAGAGAAAACAGUUUGAUAAGCUCAUUAAGAAAGAUGCUCCUAAGAUGCCACUAGUGAGCUCCUUCAGUGACAGACUGCUGCUUCCAAAGUGCACAAAAGUGUGUUAUCACAUGUCCUCCCUACAGCUGUUGUGACGUUAUAACCAUCACUGCCAACAAAAAACUCAAACACAAUAAGUGUUUCCAUCCCAGCUGCUAUGUGUACAGCUUUUUUCAUUUCUCAUGAAUGUGCCUUCUUAAACACACAUGCCAAAUUUUGCACAUUUUCUUUUAAAUUACAUUACAUAUCUACACAUUUCUUUCAAUUGGGGUACGCUAUUUUAAUAACCGUGCAGUAUUAUUUUUCUCAUGUUGUAGAAAAAUAGUAAAUUUGCCCCUUUGCUCUGUACAGUUUCUUAUUCUUCUGAUUUCAUAGUUUUUACCUCUGUGUGG